GGAUUAGUGGCGAACGGGUGAGUAACAUAUCGGAACGUACCUUGUAAUGGGGGAUAACUAGUCGAAAGAUUAGCUAAUACCGCAUACGCCCUGAGGGGGAAAGUAGGGGAUCUUCGGACCUUACGUUAUAAGAGCGGCCGAUAUCUGAUUAGCUAGUUGGUGGGGUAAUGGCCUACCAAGGCGACGAUCAGUAGCUGGUCUGAGAGGACGACCAGCCACACUGGAACUGAGACACGGUCCAGACUCCUACGGGAGGCAGCAGUGGGGAAUUUUGGACAAUGGGCGCAAGCCUGAUCCAGCCAUUCCGCGUGAGUGAAGAAGGCCUUCGGGUUGUAAAGCUCUUUCGCAAGGGAAGAAAACUUACAUUCUAAUAAAGUGUGAGGCUGACGGUACCUUGAUAAGAAGCACCGGCUAACUACGUGCCAGCAGCCGCGGUAAUACGUAGGGUGCGAGCGUUAAUCGGAAUUACUGGGCGUAAAGCGUGCGCAGGCGGUUUUGUAAGUCAGAUGUGAAAUCCCCGAGCUCAACUUGGGAACUGCGUUUGAAACUACAAGACUAGAAUAUGUCAGAGGGGGGUAGAAUUCCACGUGUAGCAGUGAAAUGCGUAGAGAUGUGGAGGAAUACCAAUGGCGAAGGCAGCCCCCUGGGAUAAUAUUGACGCUCAUGCACGAAAGCGUGGGGAGCAAACAGGAUUAGAUACCCUGGUAGUCCACGCCCUAAACGAUGUCUACUAGUUGUUGGUGGAGUAAAAUCCAUGAGUAACGCAGCUAACGCGUGAAGUAGACCGCC
rnacentral:rRNA from 1 species